CUGGCUUCAAUCUUCUGAAGCAUCCUGGCUCCAGACCCACAGGACACACGGAUGGUGCUUCUCAAUCCCUGGCCGUGGCAGACGGCACUCUCCUGGCCCCCAGCUGCACUAACACAGGGCAGCGUGCUUCAUCAGCUUCCACUCCCAGUCCCCUGCUGUGGUUCCCAUCUGCUCCUUUCUCUGGGGGAAACUUCUCUCUUUCUAAUCAAUGGAGACUUCCCUUUCUUGUUUUUGAACAUGGUUAAGCUGAUAACUGUAUUUUAAUAUUAUUUCCUGUCAUUUUUAUAUGCUUGGAGCAGAAAGUUUCAGCAAGCACUUCAUCAUCAAUUUUGAUAGUGAAUCAUCAAUUUCUUUAAUUUAUAGUUUUGAUUGUUUUCAUAAAUGGAUUUCUGCCUUGCUCUUGCAUAUUCUAAGUGGUUAGCGCUGAUACUCUAGGAUAUUACUUAUUUUUAUUUUGUAGCCAGCCA